AGAGAUGCACUGGGCUUAAAGCGUGCGCAGGCGGUUUUGUAAGACAGAGGUGAAAUCCCCGGGCUCAACCUGGGAACUGCCUUUGUGACUGCAAGGCUGGAGUGCGGCAGAGGGGAUGGAAUUCCGCGUGUAGCAGUGAAAUGCGUAGAUAUGCGGAGGAACACCGAUGGCGAAGGCAAUCCCCUGGGCCUGCACUGACGCUCAUGCACGAAAGCGUGGGGAGCAAACA
rnacentral:rRNA from 1 species